GCCGAGGUGGCGAAACGGCAGACGCGCUGCGUUCAGGGCGCAGUGUCCAUUAUGGACGUGUGGGUUCAAAUCCCUCCCUCGGCACCA
rnacentral:tRNA from 1 species